CCUUCCGUCCGGGAUAACUAGCCGAAAGGUUAGCUAAUACCAGAUACGCUCAUCGUGCGGCAUCGCGCAAUGAUGAAAGCAGCAAUGCGCGGAUUGAGGAGGCUGCGGCCCAUUAGCUAGUUGGUGAGGUAAUGGCCCACCAAGGCGACGAUGGGUAGCUGGUCUGAGAGGACGACCAGCCACACUGGGACUGAGACACGGCCCAG
rnacentral:rRNA from 1 species